UGUCGAAUACAGUCUUUUUUUUUAAAAAAUUCCGUUCUUCUACUUUAGGAGUUCUCGUAGUCAAACUUGUCUACAUUGCUCAUUAGCCGAGAGAAACAAACAUAAGCAUCCUCUCUUACAAGAAGGUUGAAGAAGGGAAAACGAAGCCUUGGGACUAUAUCCAGUAUUUUCCAUUUUCUGCUGUGCCAGCCUUUGAAGUUGACAAGACUGUGCAAUAUUUUGUAUUUUCCUCUUUCUUUCCGGAUAAAGAUACAUGUAUGUAUGUAGAUGUGAAUGAUAAUGUUUAGGGUGUGAAUGUGUAGAUGUAUGAUAGGGUGUGAGUAUAUAGAUGUAUGUUUAGGGUGUGAAUGUAUAAAUAGAUGAAUGUUUAGGGUGCGAUGGUUUAGAUGUAUGUUAGGGUGUGAUAGUAUAGAUGUAUUAUUAGGGUGUGAUUGUAUAGAUGUAUAAAUAGGGGGAGAUUGUAUAGUUGUAUGUAUAGGUUGUAUAGAUGGGCGUGUGAGUGAGCAUAGCGCCCAAUGCGUGACUAGUGUAGUUCCUACAGCAACCUACAACAAAUCGCUAGACACACACAAGAAAAUAACAACCACUCUAAAAUAACAAAAACAAACAAACCUUGGAAUGACAGUCGCCCAAAUGACAGGUACCCGAAGCCCCUAUUUAAUGAAUUUGAACCUGACCCGAAAUCUUAGUUUAUUUUAAAUAACUAAACACGAAAAACGUGAAUCCGAAAUACUCGAAAUAAAACUUACACACACAACUAAAAGAAUAAAGAAAGUUUUUUAGUAACAAAAAUGGUAGUCGAAACAUUAAAUAAAUCUUAAAAGCACAAAAACAGCAAAAUAAGUCUAAAAACAGUAAACAAAUUUUUUAGUAACAAAAAAGGAAAACAAACGAAACACUAAAUAAAUCUUAAAUCGCAGCACAAAAACAGCAAAAUAAGUCGAAAAACA
rnacentral:sRNA from 1 species